rnacentral:rRNA from 1 species
GACGGAGGAUGCAAGCGUUAUCCGGAAUUAUUGGGCGUAAAGCGUCCGCAGGUGGACAUACAAGUCUGCUGUCAAAGUGCAGAGCUUAACUCUGUAAAGGCGGUGGAAACUGUAGGUCUUGAGUAUGGUAGGGGUAGAGGGAAUUCCCGGCGUAGCGGUGAAAUGCGUAGAUAUCGGGAAGAACACCAACGGCGAAAGCACUCUGCUAGGCCUGAUUUCGCGACUGACACUCAGGGACGAGAGCCAGGGGAGCGAAUGGG